rfam:Gossypium hirsutum cultivar TM-1 chromosome 12, whole genome shotgun sequence
AAUCUGUGGUGCGGACAUUUCUGAAUUAAUGUUUUAAAAUGUUCCCAAGCUUCAUGAAAACUUUCCCCUUCAAAGACAACAAUUUCUCUUCUUAGUUU